rnacentral:rRNA from 1 species
UGUGACCUCAGGUCAAGAGGGAUUACCAGCUGAGUUUAAGCAUAUCAAUAAGUGAAGGAAAAAAAAUUUACUAGGACUCUCUUAGUAAUGGCGAGCAAACUAGAAAAAGCCUAGCUUGAGAAUCGAGCAACCCUAGAGUCCAAAUUGUAGUCUAAAGAAGUGCCUUCAGUAGUAGAUCAAGUCUAAGUCCUUUAAGAAAAGGCAUCGAAGAGGGUGAGAGCCUUGUUCUACCUGGACCCUAUCACACCAUGAGGCGUUAUCUAUGAGCCAAGUUGUUUGGUAAUGCAACCCUAAUCGGGCAGUAAAUUUCAUCCAAGGCUAAAUACGAGUGAGAGAUUGAUAAUGAACAAGUACCAUAAGGGAAAGAUGAAAAGGAUUUUGAAAAGAGAGUCAAAGAGUGCUUGAAAUUAUUGGGAGGGAAGUGGAUGGGAGCCAAUGAUGCUCCUCGAUUGGAUGUGGAACAAUAAGAGUUAGUCCAUCGAUCGGUUCAAGGUAUGGACUGACACAGGUCACGAUAGUGGCCUAAGCCUGGGCUUUCAAUAUGCCUGUAAAGAUGUCAUUGCUGUGAUCAUGGAAUAUAGCAUGUGCCAUCUUGGCAUGCCUCAACACCAAUGUUCUCCCAAUAUCAGCCUAUGGGCUCCCUAUCUAAACCAUCUUGAAACACGUACUAAGGAGUUUGACAUGUGUGUGAGUCAACAAACUAGAAAUACUAUAAAGAAGCUAAUUAAUGGGAUCCCUCGCUGGUGCAUUACCAACUGACCCUGAUCUUUGAUAAGGGUUCGAGUGUAAGCAUGCUUGUCGGGACUCAAAAGAUGAUGAACUAUGCCUAAGUGAGGCAAAGCUAGAGGAAACUCUAGUGGAGGCCCAUAAUGAUACUAACAUGCAAAUCAUUCAUCUGACUUGGGUAUAGGUGCAAAAGACUAACCAAACCAUCUUGUAGUUGGUUCUUUCUAAAAUUUCCCUCAAGAUAGCUAGAACCCUUAGCGAGUUCUAUCGGAUAAAGCCAAUGAUUAGAAGCAUCGGGGGAAUAAUGCCCUCGACUUAUUCUUGAACUUUAAAUAGGUUGGACAGCAUGGUUGCUUCAUUGAGCCAUGCCAUGAAAUUGAAGCUCUAAGUGGGCUAUUUUUGGUAAGCAAAACUGUUGAUGUAGGAUGAAUUGGAAGCUAGGUUAUGAUUCCCAAUUGUGCAGUAACCUAGAACCCACAAAAGGUGUUGGUCGAUUGAAAUAGUAAAACAGUAGUCAUAGAAGUUUAAAUCCACUAAAGAGUGUGUAACAACUUACCUACCAAAUAAACUAGCACCAAAAAUGGAUGGCACUUAAGUGCACAACCUAUACCUUAUCAUCAAGGCAGGGGCUAGGCCUCGAUAAGUAGGAGGGCAUUGUAGUCGUCAUAAAAUACAAGGCACGAGCUCAAGUGGAGCAACCAUCAGUGUGGAUCUUAGUAGUGUAGCAAAUAUUUGAAUGAGAACUUUGAAAGUUGAAGAGGGGAAAGGUUCCAUGUGAAUGGCACUUGCACAUAGGUUAACCGAUCCUAAGAGAAAGGGGAAGCCCAUCCUAUAGCAUAUCUAGCGCAAGCUUCAAAAGAGAAUCGAGUUAAUAUUCCUAAACUGGGAUGUGACAGCUAAUGGCAACAUUAAAGAGUCUAAAGAGGUUAGUGGAGGCCUCAGGGAGAGUUAUCUUCUCUAUUUAACAAUUUGCCUACCUUGGAAAUAGAUUACCCAAAGGUAGGGUCCAGUAGCUAAAAGAGCACUGCACGUCAUGUGGUGUUCAGUAAGCCCUCAAUAGCCCUUGAAAAUCCAGAAGACUAAGUGCUGUCUGUGCCCUAUCAUACUUAUAACUGCAUCAGGUUUCUGAGGUGAAUAGCCUAUUGUCAAUGGAACAAUGUAGGCAAGAGAAGUCAGCAAAAUGGAUUUGUAACCUAGGGAAAAAGAUUGGCUCUUAGUGUUGGGCAUGAAGGUCCUAGUCUUGAACCCAUCGGUUGUCUGUGCACUGCUCGAGCUACUCCUAUGAUGAGAAUGGGUCAUCAUGUGCUGGUGAAGGGUUGGACUGGGUCUAGCUCCCUUGAGGGCCUUCAUCAGGUAAUGAAUAGUUGACUUAGAACUAGUAUCGACAAAGGGAAUCCAAUAGUUUAAUUAAAACAAAGCAUUGUGAUGGCCCCUAUGGAUUGUCAUGCAAUGUGAUUUUUGCCUAGUGCUUUGAAUGUCAAAAUGAAGAAAUUAAACCAAGUGCGGAUUAACGACGGGAGUAACUAUGACUCUCUUAAGGUAGCCAAAUGUCUCAUCAUCUAAUUAGUGACAUGCAUGAAUGGAUUAACAAGAUUCCAACUAUCCCUAUCUGCUAUCUAGUGAAACCAUAACCAAAGGAACAGGCUUAGUAGAAUUAACAGGAAGAGAAAACCCUAUUGAGCUUGACUCUAGUCUAACUUUGUGAAAUGAAUUGAGAGUUGUAGGAUAAGUGGGAGCCCUCGGGUGAAAUUGAAAUACCAUUACUUUUUAUAUUAUUUUAUGUAUUUGAGGAUUAGAGGUGAGGUACAACCCCUUCUUUUAGACACAAGGCUAGCAUUGGUCAAUUAAUCUAGGUGGAAGACAUUGUCUAGUAGGGAGUUUGGUUAGGGCAACACAUUUUUUAAAAGAUAAUAUCGUGUCCUAAGAUGAGCUCAACAAGAACAUAAAUCUUUUUUGGAACAAAAAGGUAAAAGAUUGUUUGAUUCUAAUUUCUAGUAUGAAUAUGAAUAGUGAAAACGUGGCCUAUCGAUCAUUUAGACUUUUGAAAUUUGAAGCUUGAGGUGUCGAAAAAGUUACCACAAGGAUAACUAGCUUGUGGCAGCCAAGCGUUCAUAGCGACAUUGCUUUUUGAUACUUUGAUGUUAGCUCUUCCUAUCAUUGUGAAGCAGAAUUCACCAAGUGUUAGAUUAUUCACCCACUUGUAGGGAAUGUGAGCUAGGUUUAGAUUGUUGUGAGAUAGGAUAGUUUUACCCUAUUGAUGGUAGCAUCAUAAUAGUAAUUCAACCUAGUACAAGAAGAACCAUUGAUUCGCACAAUUGGUCAUUGCACUUGGUUGAAAAACUAGUGGCAUAAAGCUACCAUGCAUUGGAUUAUGACUGAACAAAUCUAAGUCAAAAUCUUAGCUAGAAGUGAUGCAUGUGCCCAUAGCUUGAUUGUCGACCUACAGUAUAGGCCCAUGGCCCCUAAAGUUACAUGUUAUAGGUGCAGCCCUAGUGGCGGACAAGCCACACAAGACUCCUUGGAGCUCAAUUCUCACCGAAUAACGAGUAGAAUCCUUUGUAGAUGACUUAAAUAUGUGACAGGGUAUUGUAAGUGGUAAAAUGGCCUUGCUACCAUGAUUCACUGAGAUUCAGCCCUUUGUCACUUCAAUUUGU